rnacentral:rRNA from 1 species
CUUCAGUGGCGGACGGGUGAGGGAUGAAUGGCUUCGGCCCGUAAACCCCCUGUCAUUUGCGAUCAAACCUUACGACCUAACACGUCGUAAGCUGAUAGUAGCGGAAGAGGAAGGGACGGCUAACUCUGUGCCAGCAGCCGCGGUAAUACAGAGGUCCCAAGCGUUGUUCGGAUUCACUGGGCGUAAAGGGUGCGCAGGCGGUUUUGCAAGCCAGACGUGAAAUCCCCGGGCUUAACCUGGGAACUGCGUUUGGAACUGCAAGACUAGAGUGUGUCAGAGGGAGGUGGAAUUCCACGUGUAGCAGUGAAAUGCGUAGAUAUGUGGAGGAACACCGAUGGCGAAGGCAGCCUCCUGGGAUAACACUGACGCUCAUGCACGAAAGCGUGGGGAGCAAACAGGAUUAGAUACCCUGGUAGUCCACGCCCUAAACGAUGUCAACUGGCUGUUGGGAGAGAAAUCUUUCAGUAGCGAAGCUAACGCGUGAAGUUGACCGCCUGGGGAGUACGGCCGCAAGGUUGAAACUC